CCCCCAUGCCGCCCCUCCAGGAGGGUAGUUGGCUAGUGAAUGGGGCUGGGGCACAAACAGGCUGUAACUUUGCUCGUUAAAAAUGAAAAUAAAGGGUCUGUGUGCUUCUCAUCCUCCUCCUUCUCCCUCGCCCUGGAGUCAGCAGCAGCAGCAGCAGUCCGCUCGCUUUGCUGGGUCUGUCUCUUCCCCUGGGUUGCUGGCUGGGCUGAUCAUUACCGAGUCACUAGCAGACUGCAGUAGUAAAUACCUGGCAUCCCAAAGAUUAAUCCCCAGGAGCCAGACGCCUGCCAACACUCCUGCCUUACCUCCGGUUUCCUGCCCUCUUGAGUGUGUGAGAAAGACAAGAAAAGUUUGUUCACUUUGGAAACUCGAUAGGAGGCAGCAGCUGAUCUUCCCAUCACCAGCCUAAAAAUAAUCCACUCCAGGGCUUGGAGCUGCUUCACAAAGUGGAGGAGAAUCUUGCCAUCGGAAUGAUAUUGAUCACAUAGCACAACCAAGGGAAAACUGGGUUUGAUAUUUUGUGUAUGUAUAUAUAAAGUUUGUAACAAUCAGGCUGUUUGGAAGCAAUGAAGGCCGCAUUUUGUGGUAAUGACAACGCUUCUGCCUAUGACAUCAGUGCUGGCGUCCUAAAAAAUGUCUGCUUCGUGGAUGCCCUCAACCUGGUUCCCCAUGUCUUCCUGUUAUUUAUCACCUUUCCAAUUUUGUUUAUUGGCUGGGGUAGCCAAAGUUCGAAAGUCCAGAUCCAUCACAACACAUGGCUGCAUUUCCCUGGACACAAUCUGCGGUGGAUUCUGACAUUCACCCUCCUGUUCGUACAUGUCUGUGAAAUAGCAGAGGGCAUAGUUUCAGAUGCAAAUAUGAAAUCUCGUCACCUGCAUCUCUUCCUGCCAGCUAUGAUGGGAUUUGUGGCUGCCACCACGGCUAUUGUCUAUUACCAUAAUAUUGAAACAUCUAACUUUCCAAAGUUACUGCUAGCUCUCUUUCUUUACUGGAUAAUGGCCUUUGUCACAAAAACCAUCAAGCUGGUCAGAUACUGUGAGGAUGGUGUGACGUUCUCUCAGCUACGCUUCUGCAUCACUGGAAUUAUGGUCAUUCUCUAUGGGCUGCUGAUGGCUGUGGAGAUCAAUGUCAUUCGAGUUAGGAGGUAUGUAUUUUUUAUGAACCCUCAGAAAGUAAAGCCACCUGAAGACCUGCAGGAUCUGGGUGUGAGAUUUCUUCAGCCAUUUGUCAAUUUGCUCUCAAAGGCAACUUACUGGUGGAUGAAUACACUUAUUAUCUCGGCUCACAAGAAACCGAUUGAUCUGAAGGCAAUUGGGAAGCUGCCAAUAGCAAUGCGAGCACUUACAAACUAUGUUUGUCUGAAAGAAGCAUAUGAAGAGCAAAAGAAAAAGGUGGCAAACCAGCCGAAUAAGAUUCCCUCUAUAUGGUUAGCAAUGUACAGGGCUUUUGGACGGCCAAUCCUUCUCAGCAGCACCUUCCGUUACUUGGCUGACCUGUUGGGUUUUGCUGGGCCAUUAUGCAUUUCUGGCAUAGUCGAGAGCUUACAAAAUCGUACAGACACAACUGGAAAAUCUAACGAGACAUCAACUUCAUACCUCUCCUCACAGGAUUUUCUCAAAAAUGCUUAUGUCCUAGCAGUUCUUCUCUUCCUGGCCCUUAUCCUGCAGAGGACGUUUCUGCAGGCUUCCUAUUAUGUUACCAUAGAAACCGGCAUCAACCUGCGAGGUGCCUUACUGGCAAUGAUAUACAAUAAGAUCCUGAGGCUUUCCACGUCCAACUUGUCCAUGGGAGAGAUGACCUUGGGACAGAUCAAUAACUUGGUUGCCAUAGAAACAAAUCAGCUGAUGUGGUUCUUGUUUCUGUGUCCCAAUCUCUGGGCUAUGCCCGUUCAGAUCAUAAUGGGCGUGAUCCUACUGUAUAACUUACUUCGAGUAAGUGCAUUGGUUGGUGCUGCUGUUAUUGUAUUGCUCGCUCCAAUACAGUAUUUCAUAGCUACAAAGUUGGCUGAGGCGCAGAAGAGCACGCUUGAUUAUUCUACUGAGAGAUUAAAGAAAACCAAUGAGAUCUUGAAAGGCAUUAAGUUGUUAAAGUUGUAUGCCUGGGAGCACAUAUUUUGCACUAGCGUAGAGGAAACAAGAACCAAGGAGCUCAUAAGUCUCAAAACCUUUGCACUUUACACAUCUCUUUCCAUUUUUAUGAAUGCAGCCAUCCCAAUAGCAGCUGUUCUUGCAACCUUUGUGACCUAUGAAUAUCAAAAUGAGGCGACACUGCAGCCAUACCAGGCCUUUGCAUCACUGUCGUUGUUUCACAUCCUGGUCACACCGCUGUUCCUGCUCUCCACCGUGGUUAGAUUUGCAGUCAAGGCCGUUAUAAGCGUACAGAAGCUGAAUGAAUUUCUCAUAAGUGAUGAGAUUGGAGAUGACAGCUGGAGAAGUGCAGAAAGCUCUCUGACCUAUGAAUCCUGUAAGAAGCAUACAGGACUUCAUACCAAAGCCAUAAACAGGAAACAGCCCUUAAGGCAUCAGCUGGACAGCUAUGAGCAGCCGCCGAGGAGACAGCCACGUCCCUUUGAGACAGAUGAUAUUGCAAUCAAGGUUACCAAUGGAUAUUUUUCAUGGGGAAGUGGCUUAGCCACAUUAUCCAAUAUAAACAUCAGGAUCCCAACAGGUCAGAUGACAAUGAUUGUGGGUCAAGUUGGCUGUGGGAAGUCUUCACUUCUUCUGGCUAUACUUGGUGAGAUGCAGACUCUGGAAGGAAAAGUUCUCUGGAACAACAUAAAUGAAACUGAUCCUUCUUGUGAAGCAACCAGAAGUAGAAACAGAUAUUCUGUGGCUUAUGCAGCACAGAAGCCAUGGCUGUUGAAUGCUACAGUGGAGGAAAACAUUAUCUUUGGGAGUCCUUUUAACAAACAGAGAUACAAAGCUGUUACGGAUGCAUGCUCUCUGCAGCCGGACAUUGACCUAUUACCAUUUGGCGAUCAGACAGAAAUUGGAGAAAGGGGGAUUAACUUAAGUGGCGGCCAACGACAGAGAAUCUGCGUAGCUCGAGCACUCUAUCAAAACACCAACAUCGUCUUCUUGGAUGAUCCAUUCUCUGCACUGGACAUUCACUUAAGUGAUCACUUGAUGCAGGAAGGUAUCUUGAAGUUCCUCCAGGAAGACAAAAGAACACUUAUACUGGUGACACAUAAAUUACAAUAUCUGCCACACGCGGACUGGAUCAUAGCUAUGAAGGAUGGUUAUGUGCUCAGAGAAGGGACAUUGAAGGACAUCCAGACCAAAGAUGUUGAACUGUAUGAGCACUGGAAAACUCUGAUGAAUCGCCAAGACCAAGAAUUAGAAAAGGAUUUGGAAACUGACCAAACUACUUUGGAAAGAAAAACUCUCAGAAGAGCAAUGUACCCAAGAGAAUCCAAAGCACAACUGGAGGAUGAGGAUGAAGAGGAAGAAGAGGAGGAAGAUGAUGAUGAUAACAUGUCAACAGUAAUGCGGCUUAGAACAAAGAUGCCGUGGAGAACUUGCUGGAGAUAUCUUACCUCUGGAGGAUUUUUCUUACUGUUUCUGAUGAUUUUCUCCAAGCUCUUGAAACACUCAGUCAUUGUAGCCAUAGAUUACUGGCUGGCAAGAUGGACAUCCAUGGAGAAUAAAACUGGGGAUUCCAUAGAACGUAAUCGUGAAAACAAGUCUCAUCAUGUCGCUGUGUUCAGCACGCUUUGUGGAGCAGGGAUCUUCCUUUGCCUCGUCACAUCCCUGACCGUGGAGUGGAUGGGCCUCACAGCUGCCAAGAACCUUCACCACAAUCUCCUCAAUAAGAUCAUCCUCGGACCAAUCAGAUUCUUUGACACAACUCCCCUGGGCCUAAUUCUAAAUCGCUUCUCUGCUGAUACGAAUAUCAUUGACCAGCACAUUCCCCCUACUCUGGAGUCUCUCACCCGGUCCACUUUGCUCUGUCUGUCGGCUAUCGGAAUGAUCUCGUAUGCCACUCCGUGGUUCCUUGUUGCUCUUGUACCCCUUGGGGUAGCAUUUUAUUUCAUCCAGAAAUACUUCAGAGUGGCUUCCAAAGACCUUCAGGAGCUCGAUGACAGCACCCAACUACCUUUACUCUGUCAUUUCUCAGAAACAGCUGAAGGCCUCACCACCAUCAGAGCAUUUAGGCAUGAAGCCAGGUUUAAACAACAUAUGCUGGAACUGACGGACACGAACAACAUUGCCUACUUGUUUCUGUCGGCUGCCAACAGAUGGCUGGAGGUCAGGACGGAUUAUCUGGGUGCUUGCAUAGUUCUCACCGCAGCUGUUACGUCCAUCACCUACAAGCCCGAGUCUGGUAUCUUGGGCCUGGGUCUCCUGUACGCACUGACGAUCACCAACUAUUUGAACUGGGUUGUAAGAAAUUUAGCUGACUUGGAGGUGCAGAUGGGCGCAGUGAAAAAAGUGAACAGUUUCCUGACCAUGGAGUCUGAGAACUACGAAGGCACUAUGGACCCUUCUCAAGUACCGAAAGACUGGCCACAAGAGGGGGAAAUCAAGAUUGAAGAUUUGUGUGUCCGAUAUGAAAAUAACCUGAAGCCUGUUCUGAAGCAUGUCAAGGCUUACAUCAAACCAGGACAGAAGGUUGGGAUCUGUGGUCGCACUGGCAGUGGAAAAUCAUCAUUGUCUUUGGCUUUCUUCAGAAUGGUAGACAUUUUUGAUGGGAAGAUUGUGAUUGAUGGAAUAGACAUUUGUAAACUGCCCCUGGAUACCCUCCGUUCCAGACUCUCAAUUAUUCUCCAAGACCCCAUACUGUUCAGUGGUUCCAUUCGUUUUAAUUUGGAUCCAGAGUGCAAGUGCACUGAUGAUAGGCUUUGGGAAGCUCUGGAGAUUGCUCAGCUGAAGAACAUGGUCAAAUCAUUGCCAGGAGGUCUUGAUGCGGUGGUAACAGAAGGGGGAGAGAAUUUCAGUGUGGGGCAGAGACAGCUUUUCUGUCUGGCCAGAGCCUUUGUUCGCAAGAGCAGCAUUCUCAUCAUGGAUGAAGCCACGGCUUCUAUUGACAUGGCCACAGAAAAUAUUUUGCAGAAGGUUGUGAUGACUGCCUUUGUGGACCGCACAGUUGUAACGAUAGCACACCGAGUGUCUCAGAUCUUGGAUGGAGACAUUGUGUUAGUCCUUUCCGAAGGUGUUCUAGCUGAGUGUGAUUCUGCUUCAAACUUGCUCCUCAAAGAGGAUGGCCUGUUCACCACUUUGGUGAAGACUAACAAGUAGACUCUCUCAGUCACACUGCUCGCAAGACUUCUGGCUCUCUGAUCUUGGUGGACAUGAGUCCACAUCACAAAUGACACUUUCGUUGGCAGUCUCAGAAGAGAGACCAAGGACUGAAUUAGCCUGGAAACUAAACUACCAUCUCAUCCCUAAGGAUGCCCUUCCAGAUUGGGGUUGAGAUAUACUGCACCGGGUCCACACUAUUCUGACUGCUGACCUGGUCAUUGUGAUGAAACGAGGGAAUAUUUUGGAGAAUGACACACCAGAGAACCUGCUGUCUCGGGAAGAUGGCAUCUUUGCUUCUUUCGUCCGGGCUGAC